CCUACGGGUGGCAGCAGUGGGGAAUAUUGGGCAAUGGAGGCAACUCUGACCCAGCAACGCCGCGUGAAUGAUGAAGGUCUUCGGAUUGUAAAGUUCUGUGAUGGGGGAUGAACACAAUGACGGUACCCCAAUAGCAAGCCACGGCUAACUACGGGCCAGCAGCCGCGGGAAUACGUAGGUGGCAAGCGUUAUCCGGAAUGACUGGGCGUAAAGGGUGCGUAGGUGGUUUAGUAAGUUGGCGGUGUAAUUCCGGGGCUCAACCUCGGCGCUACCGCCAAAACUAUUAGACUAGAGUGCAGGGGGGGUAAGUGGAAUGCGUGGUGUAGCGGUGGAAUGCGUAGAGAUUAGGAGGAACAUCAGGGGCGAAGGCGACUUACUGGACUGUAACUGACGCUGAGGCACGAAAGCGUGGGGAGCAAACAGGAUUAGAUACCCUAGUAGUC
rnacentral:rRNA from 1 species